UUUGUCCCAAAUCCUCGUUAUCUCACUUACAAUCUUAUAAUCAUAACUUUAGUUUCAAAUGUACAAGGACAAUACACGGAAAGAUAAAAGCAUCUAAUACCAUAUUAUAAAUUCAAAUUAAGACAAGACUUCCGAACAGUGUGCCAUUUCACUUAUUCAAAAGAACUGGAGCGACAGUUGAGCAACUGUAAUUAAUUCAACUGGGUGACAAGUCGACAUUGUUUAAGAAAGGAGGUAGCUGCCAAUUAAGUUGAAAAGAUAUGCCGGAAAUUUAAUACUUGUGUCAUACUGUGUUAUAUUCACAUGAAAUAAAGGAGAUUGUUUUGUAGAACUUUGGAGUUAAGAAACAAGGAUAGGAUUGCAUUGCAGCAUAUAGUGCACUGGUUUUGAUGCAGUACAUAAUACAAUAGAUGGAUUUCUAUAUAAACAUGACUUAACUUAGAAAGGACAUAAAAGAACACUUGUAAUUUAUGCAUUUAAAAAAAUUAUUUAUCCUGACUUAACAUUUCAUUUAAAAUCAAUAGGAUAAACAGCAUGUAUUAAAAGCUAACAGAAAUGGAUGAUGAAGAUAAAGUUAAAUGAGGUUCUGCAGAUGUGAUGGGGACAAAACUGAUGUUGAAGAAACACCACUACAAAUCAACAAUGAAUGCAUCAUUUACAAUGGUUGAAAGGAGAAAACAGUACUUGAAGCCAGAGACAAUUAACAUGAAUUCAGACACUAAGAAAAGUUAAAUAUGGUAUAAAUGAAAUAGCUGAAGAAAAAUUUCUACAUGACUUCAAAGAAGUUUGGAAACUAUAACUCAGACAAGAUACAAGGUAACUUUGUUGCCAAGUGAAUACUAAUGCAAGAAACAAACACUGAGUAUGAGUACAAAUUAGUUAAAUUAUUGUUGCUUCAUAGAUAGAAAGCAAAGGAGAGGGGCAAAACAUAAAAUUCCACUAUUGUCACAAAGCAAUAUGAAAUCCUUGCACAAACUGAAGGAAACGUUGAUGUGUCAAAUGCAUCAGACGAAACGAACUAGGGAUCAAAUCUUAUCACUUUGUUCAAGUGGCGAAAAAAUAGCAUUUCACUUCAAAAAGCUGUAUUCUUCAAAGCCAAAGCCUAGAAUACAGGAAAAUCUGCAAGAUCAUAUUAUACACAACUGGAGAAUUACAAACAAUGUGACAGAUAUUUUUUCCCUGACUUGCACUGUAUUGGAUUUGUUUUCUGUUGGCUAGUCAGAAACUAGAGAAUCGAUAAUCAGACAGUUUUAACAUAACUUCGUCUAAAGGACACACCUUACCAAACAAAGAUAAACAGGAAGAGAUGCACUAGCAACACAGAAAAACAGCCCAGCAGACCACCUAACCAAAUCAGACUAGGACACAAGGGCGAAUAACGGAUUAAAACAAUGCAAUAUAGGAAAUCAUAGAAAAGAGGAAACGAAAUCCCCAAAGAACAUUCAAAACGGCAAAAUUGAAAAUGUUGCGGGCUCAGUUUGAUUGAGCUAUUCAUAGAUGGUAGUGUUUAUUGCAAUUUACCAUCCACGUCCCCUAGCACCGGCUUAAUCAGAAUUCACUUUUUAAACAUGGAUACAUGCUUCCGAGGGGUCGCUUAUUUUUAUUAUUAUUAUUUUAACAUGAUAACAAUAAAAAAAUUUGAAAUGAAAAGCUGGCAUACAUCGUUUAUAAUAUACAUGUAUACAAAUCAAAAAUGUAAUGUAAAGGAAAUAAUCUUAUUCUUCUCCAGAUUAAUUAAUUGUGUGCUUCUGCAUGUGUUCACACAGCGGCUGUUAACCUUAAGUAUAAUAUCUUUGUCCACUAAUGAAUAUUAAAUUUUUAAAUUUCUCA